GGGGAUUUAGCUCAGUGGCAUAAGCACCUGCCUUGCAAGCAGGCAGUUGUGUGUUCGAUCCCCG
rfam:Cavia porcellus supercont2_10 genomic scaffold, whole genome shotgun sequence.